rnacentral:lncRNA from 10 species
CUAGAAUACAUACAUGUUUAGACGUUUGGUUCAAGGUUAUCACAUGUUAGAAGUAAAAUGCCCUUGACUUUGCCAUUUCUCUUACCUAGUGUUAGCAAACUUACAUGGUUUGAUCCCCAAGGUCCAACUGUUUGCUUUUCUCCCUAAAUCAGAGGCAGGGAAUGUCUCUGCCAAUCAGGCCACAGAGAAUGGAAUUCAGACUUUGUGAAGGCUGAAGGGAUUACCUAAGGAGCCUAACUCAUCUAGUCAAGGCUUUCUGUGAGUGUUCUUUAGAUGAUAUUUGAAGGGAAGGUUAGAGGUCAUUUUUCUCUUUCACAAAAUACCUGGAAGACCUCGUGCUUUGCUUCCCAGAGCCUCUGCAAGGCACUGCUGUGUGUCAGUACACCUAUGUCCAUAGGCCAUCCUUGAAAUCAACCAUGAUAAGUCAAAAAGAGAGAGGCACAGGCCAGGAUGUCACAAAAGCCAGUUCCCUUCUCCUGGUACAGCAUGGUCUACAUGGUAGGUGAUGGAAUCUUACCUUUCAAGGUAAGAUAUAUUUUUAUAUCUUUUAGGUCUAGUUGACUCAUAACUUUGUUCACAUCCUCUAAUUCCUUAAUGAUCUUCAGUUUAGUUGUUUCAUUCAUUACUUAAGGUGGGGUAUUGGGCUGGGUGACGUGGCUCACGCCUGUAAUCCUAGCACUUUGGGAGGCUGAGGCGGGCAGACCACUCAAGGCCAAGAGUUCAAGACCAGCAUGGCCAAAAUGGUGAAACCCCUUCUCUGCGAAAAAUAAACAAAUUAGCUGGGCACAUUGGCGCACGCUUGUAA